CGGACGGGUGAGUAAUGCUUGGGAACCUAGCUUAUGAGGGGGAUAACUACGGGAAACUGUAGCUAAUACCGCGUAAUAUCGAAAGAUUAAAGUGUGGGACCUUCGGGCCACAUGCCAUAGGAUGAGCCCAAGUGGGAUUAGGUAGUUGGUGAGGUAAAGGCUCACCAAGCCGACGAUCUCUAGCUGGUCUGAGAGGAUGACCAGCCACACUGGGACUGAGACACGGCCCAG
rnacentral:rRNA from 1 species